CCUACGGGUGGCAGCAGUGAGGACUAUUGGUCAAUGGGCGGAAGCCUGAACCAGCCAAGUAGCGUGCGGGAUGAAGGCCCUACGUGUCGUAAACCUCUUUUGCACGGGGACAACACCUUCGACGUGUGCACGUCUGCAGGUACCUUGCGAAGAAGGGUCGGCUAAUUCCGUGCCAGCAGCCGCGGUAAUACGGAGGUCCCGAGCGUUAUCCGGAUUCAUUGGGCUUAAAGGGUGCGUAGGCGGUCGUUGAAGUCAGCGGUAAAAGCGCGGGACUCAACCGCGCCCCGCAGUUGAAACUGGAAGGCUUGAGUUCAAAACAGGCAGGCGGAAUUCGGGGUGUAGCGGUGAAAUGCAUAGAUAUCACGAGGAACCCCGAUUGCGAAGGCAGCAUGCCGGGGUGCGACUGACGCUGAGGCUCGAAGGUGCGGGUAUCAAACAGGAUUAGAUACCCCUGUAGUC
rnacentral:rRNA from 1 species